rnacentral:rRNA from 1 species
CCUACGGGUGGCUGCAGUGGGGAAUAUUGGACAAUGGGGGAAACCCUGAUCCAGCGACGCCGCGUGGGUGAAGAAGGCCUGCGGGUUGUAAAGCCCUUUCGGUGGGGAAGAAAAGCCUCGACCUAACACGUCGGGGUAUUGACGUAACCCACAAAAGAAGCACCGGCUAACUCUGUGCCAGCAGCCGCGGUAAUACAGAGGGUGCGAGCGUUAAUCGGAAUUACUGGGCGUAAAGCGCGCGUAGGCGGCUAUACAAGUCGAGUGUGAAAUCCCCGGGCUCAACCUGGGAACUGCAUUCGAGACUGUAUGGCUUGAGUAUGGGAGAGGGAGGCGGAAUUUCAGGUGUAGCGGUGAAAUGCGUAGAUAUCUGAAGGAACAUCAGUGGCGAAAGCGGCCUCCUGGACCAAUACUGACGCUCAUGUGCGAAAGCGUGGGGAGCAAACAGGAUUAGAUACCCCGGUAGUC